rnacentral:rRNA from 1 species
CUCCCAACCCAAUGUGAACGUUACCAAACUGUUGCCUCGGCGGGAUCUCUGCCCCGGGUGCGUCGCAGCCCCGGACCAAGGCGCCCGCCGGAGGACCAACCAAAACUCUUUUUGUAUACCCCCUCGCGGGUUUUUUAUAAUCUGAGCCUUCUCGGCGCCUCUCGUAGGCGUUUCGAAAAUGAAUCAAAACUUUCAACAACGGAUCUCUUGGUUCUGGCAUCGAUGAAGAACGCAGCGAAAUGCGAUAAGUAAUGUGAAUUGCAGAAUUCAGUGAAUCAUCGAAUCUUUGAACGCACAUUGCGCCCGCCAGUAUUCUGGCGGGCAUGCCUGUCCGAGCGUCAUUUCAACCCUCGAACCCCUCCGGGGGGUCGGCGUUGGGGAUCGGCCCUGCCUCUUGGCGGUGGCCGUCUCCGAAAUACAGUGGCGGUCUCGCCGCAGCCUCUCCUGCGCAGUAGUUUGCACACUCGCAUCGGGAGCGCGGCGCGUCCACAGCCGUUAAACACCCAACUUCUGAAAUGUUGACCUCGGAUCAGGUAGGAAUACCCGCUGAACUUAAGCAUAUCA